UACGUAGGUGGCAAGCGUUGUCCGGAUUUACUGGGCGUAAAGAGCGCGCAGGCGGUCGUUCAAGUCGCGUGUGAAAGCCCCCGGCUCAACUGGGGAGGGUCACGCGAUACUGAUCGACUCGAAGGCAGGAGAGGGUAGUGGAAUUCCCGGUGUAGUGGUGAAAUGCGUAGAUAGUCGGGAGGAACACCCGUGGCGAAGGCGGCUCUCUGGUACGGAACUGACGCUGAGACGCGAAAGCGUGGGGAGCGAACAGG
rnacentral:rRNA from 1 species